rnacentral:rRNA from 1 species
UGCCACUAGAACUCAUUAAUGGUACAUCCUGCCCGGUGAAUUAUUAAACGGCCGCGGUACCCUGACCGUGCAAAGGUAGCAUAAUCACUUGCCUAUUAAUUGUAGGCUAGUAUGAAAGGACACACGCGAGUAAACCUGUCUCUAUCAAGCAUAUAAAAUUUUAUAUUCGAGUGAAGAAGCUCAAAUAAAACCGCAGGACAAGAAGACCCUAUAGAGCUUUACCUUACACAUUUUCUCAAAAAAUGGACCACGGUUCGGUUGGGGCGACCAAGGUCUACAAAUCAACCUUAAAUCCUAAGAUUUCCAAAUCAUAAAAAAGAUCCUUUCUAAGAUCAACGAAUCAAGCUACCUUAGGGAUAACAGGCUAAUCCUCUUUAAGAGCCCGUAUUAACAAGAGGGGUUGGCACCUCGAUGUUGGCUUAGGAUCUCUUUAUGAUGUAGCAGUCAUAAUAGAUGGUUUGUUCAACCAUUAAAGUCCU